GGUUCCGAGUCUGACUGCCUACGGAGCAGGUGCUCUAUGGGGUCAGACCGAUAGGGUAUGUCUGGAAACGGACAUGCCUCCCGGACUUGGAAAGGAA
rnacentral:ncRNA from 1 species